UAGGGAAUCUUCGGCAAUGGACGAAAGUCUGACCGAGCAACGCCGCGUGAGUGAAGAAGGUUUUCGGAUCGUAAAACUCUGUUGGUAGAGAAGGACGUUGGUGAGAGUGGAAAGCUCAUCAAGUGACGGUAACUACCCAGAAAGGGACGGCUAACUACGUGUCAG
rnacentral:rRNA from 1 species